UCCUCCUAAUCUCAGCCUCCCAAGUACCUAGGAUCAUAGGUGUGAUCCAUAGGUACCCGGCUUAUAUAUUUUAUUUUAAAAUCCAAAAACUGCAAGAUUUUUAGUAACUAUUAAAGUAACUGAAAUAGUAAGUAAUUACUGUUUUAUUUUUUACAAUUCUAAUAGUUAUGAUUUUAGAAGUAUAUUCUAGUGCUCAUUGCCCCUGUUCUGUUUAGAUUACCUGUUGGAGCUGUAGUAACUUGUGCCAGUUUAAGCUUUGAUCUUUUCAAGAGGUAGCCAAGUCUGCUUCAUUCCACUGUGUUUAAGGAGGUCAUACUGAUUACUAGCCCUUUCUGGAGAGCCACAGAGUUGCUUUUUCCUCCAAAAGCAGGUAGUUUGAAAUGAUAGGAAAGGUCAUUUAUUUACUUAAGGAGGUUGGUAAAGAGAACAGGUUCUGGGAGAUAUUUAUUGUUUCUGUUGCAGGAUUUAAGAGUAGCAUCCUUUUUUAAUGGAGCACCCAACAUUUCACUCACUUUCAUACUAGAGAAAGUAGAUUUAAUUUGUAAGAAUAGUAAAAAGUUUUAGGGAAAAGAGCCACUAUUUUGUGUAUUUUGUCUGAGAAGGUGAUGGCCAUCCUCUUGAGUGGUUUUGCAAAAGUAGUGCUAAUGUGUAUAACCUAAAUUUUUCUUUUUUCUCCCUCUCCCUUUAACAUUUGCUUUUCCUUUCACUGUUGUUAGUCACAACACGCUGCUCUUGAAUCUCUCAGCUGGUCUUGACUUGUGAAUUUACUUAUGCUUUCACUCUUCUUUAAUAAAUACAUUACUUGCAAGCAGUGAAUUGAAAACAAGACAAAAAAA